rnacentral:rRNA from 1 species
UACAGAGGGUGCGAGCGUUAAUCGGAAUUACUGGGCGUAAAGCGCACGUAGGCGGCUUUGCAAGUCGGGUGUGAAAUCCCCAAGCUUAACUUGGGAACUGCAUUCGAGACUGCAUUGCUAGAGUAUGGGAGAGGGAAGUGGAAUUUCCGGUGUAGCGGUGAAAUGCGUAGAUAUCGGAAGGAACAUCAGUGGCGAAAGCGACUUCCUAGACCAAUACUGACGCUCAUGUGCGAAAGCGUGGGGAGCAAACAGG